rnacentral:rRNA from 1 species
CUCUGUGACUCCUACGGGGAGGCAGCAGUGGGGGAAUAUUGCACAAUGGGCGCAAGCCUGAUGCAGCCAUGCCGCGUGUGUGAAGAAGGCCUUCGGGUUGUAAAGCACUUUCAGUUGUGAGGAAGGUGGUGUCGUUAAUAGCGGCAUCAUUUGACGUUAGCAACAGAAGAAGCACCGGCUAACUCCGUGCCAGCAGCCGCGGUAAUACGGGAGGGUGCGAGCGUUAAUCGGAAUUACUGGGCGUAAAGCGCAUGCAGGUGGUUUGUUAAGUCAGAUGUGAAAGGCCCGGGGCGUCAACCUACGGAACUGCAUUUAGAAACUGGCAGACUAGAGUACUGUAGAGGGGGGUAGGAAUUUCAGGUGUAGCGGUGAAAUGCGUAGAGAUCUGAAGGAAUACCGGUGGCGAAGGCGGCCCCCUGGACAGAUACUGACACUCAGAUGCGAAAGCGUGGGGAGCAAACAGGAUUAGAUACCCUGGUAG